ACUGCUAAAACCGCAUAAGCGCACAGGGUCGCAUGACCCGGUGUGAAAAACUCCGGUGGUAUGAGAUGGACCCGCGUCUGAUUAGCUAGUUGGUGGGGUAACGGCCUACCAAGGCAACGAUCAGUAGCCGGCCUGAGAGGGUGAACGGCCACAUUGGGACUGAGACACGGCCCAAACUCCUACGGGAGGCAGCAGUGGGGAAUAUUGCACAAUGGGGGAAACCCUGAUGCAGCGACGCCGCGUGAGUGAAGAAGUAUUUCGGUAUGUAAAGCUCUAUCAGCAGGGAAGAAAAUGACGGUACCUGACUAAGAAGCCCCGGCUAACUACGUGCCAGCAGCCGCGGUAAUACGUAGGGGGCAAGCGUUAUCCGGAUUUACUGGGUGUAAAGGGAGCGUAGACGGCGAAGCAAGUCUGAUGUGAAAGGCAGGGGCUCAACCCCUGGACUGCAUUGGAAACUGUUUUGCUAGAGUGCCGGAGAGGUAAGCGGAAUUCCUAGUGUAGCGGUGAAAUGCGUAGAUAUUAGGAGGAACACCAGUGGCGAAGGCGGCUUACUGGACGGUAACUGACGUUGAGGCUCGAAAGCGUGGGGAGCAAACAGGAUUAGAUACCCUGGUAGUCUGCGCCGUAAACGA
rnacentral:rRNA from 1 species